AUGUUUUCCUCAAGCUCCCGCGCCACCUCGCGGAUGUAGAGCCAGGCGCGUGUGGACAUGCCUGUCUUCGUCUGUCCGUGGUGCCUGGUGGGCGUCGAUCGGAGGGUUUCUCACACAUCGAGGAACCAGAAUCAUCCGUUCUAUGUGUGCAGCGAGAAUGGGGUGACAUGCUUCUUUCUUUGGGUCGAUGCUCUGGCCAAGACUUUGAUGAAUGAACUGCAAGAAGAGCAUGAAGAAUGGUUGUGCAUGCUGCCACGAACGGCAGUGGCUGCAGCACGGGCUCCGGAAGAAGAGAUGGAGGGUGAAGCAUUCACUGACAGAGAGCUAGCUGUUGAGCUUAGGAUGUUCAAGAAGAAGGUUAGGAAGCUUGAAGAUCAAGCACAAAUACCAAUACCCAUUUUUAAUUACUUUUGGGCAUUUGUAGGUAUGGUAAUCGCAUUGGUUGUAAUGUUGAAAAUGUAUGGAAAGGCAUGA
rnacentral:rRNA from 1 species